rnacentral:rRNA from 1 species
CGGAGGGUGCAAGCGUUAUCCGGAUUUACUGGGUUUAAAGGGUGUGUAGGCGGGCUGUUAAGUCAGUGGUGAAAUCUCCGAGCUCAACUUGGAAACUGCCAUUGAUACUAAUAGUCUUGAAUCUUGUUGAGGUUGGCGGAAUAUGUCAUGUAGCGGUGAAAUGCAUAGAUAUGACAUAGAACUCCGAUUGCGAAGGCAGCUAACUAAGCAAGUAUUGGCGCUGAGGCACGAAAGCGUGGGGAUCAAACAGGAUUAGAUACCCUGGUAGUCCACGCCCUAAACGAUGAUUACUCGACAUACGCGAUACACAGUGUGUGUCUGAGCGAAAGCAUUAAGUAAUCCACCUGGGAAGUACGACCGCAAGGUUG